UACGAAGGGGGCUAGCGUUGCUCGGAAUUACUGGGCGUAAAGCGCACGUAGGCGGCUUUCUAAGUCGGGGGUGAAAUCCUGGAGCUCAACUCCAGAACUGCCUUCGAUACUGGAAAGCUCGAGUCCGGGAGAGGUGAGUGGAACUGCGAGUGUAGAGGUGAAAUUCGUAGAUAUUCGACAAGAACACCAGUGGCGAAGGCGGCUCACUGGCCCGGUACUGACGCUGAGGUGCGAAAGCGUGGGGAGCAAACAGG
rnacentral:rRNA from 1 species